AUUAUUUUGGCAGAUUAGUGCAUUAAAUUUAGAAUUUAAUUAUGUAGUUAUACUAUAAAUAAU
rnacentral:tRNA from 1 species